rnacentral:lncRNA from 1 species
AUUGCUUUAGGAACCUGUUUCAUUCCCUUUAUUUUUCCAAUACUUUUAAUUGUUGAUUCUGAAUUUGAUAUUACGGUGUUAAGAUGUGUGCAUAUAAUUUUGAUUUCAGCUUUGGCCCAUUGUUCUAUAUUCACUUUUCUUUCAUUUUUAUUUUGUUUCAAUUCUGUUUUGAUCUCUAUAGUUUUAUAUACCAAUUAGAGUUUGAUUUUCUUCUCGUUAAUCAUUGCAUUUCCAAUCAAGCGUAACCUUUCAUGCAUUCUACCUUUAGAUUCUUAUGUUUUUCUUUUAGUUUCUUUUGAUAAGUCAUUUUAGUUUAGGUAUUCCAAUUAUCUUUCUCCAUCAUAGAUUACAGUCUUAUUUCUUUUCCUUUAUUUUCCCCUUUUGCAUUCAUUUUAGAUAAAAUCAUUCAUUUGCAUUAGCAUUUAGUUCUUUUCUUUUUCAGAUUCCAUUUAAUUUUCAUUUUCCCCACCUAAGUUUUAGUUUUAUUAAACAAAUAGGCUUAAUUCUACAAUUCUAUCUUAACAAGAACCAAGUCCUUGGAUUAGACCAUAGGUUGCCCCUAUACUACAUUAGUGGGGAAUUUAGGUUUGUUGAGAUUUUAGGCGACGAAAAUCUUUUCAACAGUAUCAGAGCAGGUUUUCUGAUCCUUUUCUACUUUGUCUUUGUUGCCGCCGGUGGCGGCGGCCACCGACGCCCCCCACCCCAAAAAAGUUUCUUUUUCAACCUGUGCCUUUAUACUUCAAUGGGCAAUCUCUGGUUUCUGUCUCGCAUAUGUCCGGUGUUGCUGUCCGCCACUGCCCGUUGCCGCUCACCACCAUCUAACCGUCGUCUCUAACCACCAUCUCCGGCCACCGUCUCCUGCCACCACCGCCGACACCGUCUCGACCAUCGUCUCCGGUCAUCGUCUCCGCCACUUGUGCCACCGAUGCACUAACACCUAGUCCUACCUCUACUGCUUCCGCUAUCUUCUUCUCUAUUCUGAAUGGUCUUCAAGGACAGUCAGUGGUUAACACCAAGAAAUUUCAACACUAAAAUUAUGGGUUGAAACAAUUUCACCAACCCUUUGUCAAAUCUGUCAGAUUUGUUUUUUGGGUGCUUUGAUAAG